rnacentral:rRNA from 1 species
UCGAGAAUAAUUCACAAUGGGGGAAACCCUGAUGGUGCAACGCCGCGUGGAGGAUGAAGGUCUUCGGAUUGUAAACUCCUGUCAUCGGGGAGUAAGACCUGGCUGUGAAUAGCAGACAGGGUUGAUAGUACCCGAAGAGGAAGGGACGGCUAACUUCGUGCCAGCAGCCGCGGUAAUACGAAGGUCCCAAGCGUUGUUCGGACUCACUGGGCGUAAAGGGAGCGUAGGCGGCGCGGUAAGUCAGAUGUGAAAUCCCGGGGCUCAACCCCGGAACUGCAUCCGAUACUGCCGUGCUUGAGGGUUGGAGAGGUAGCUGGAAUUCUCGGUGUAGCAGUGAAAUGCGUGGAUAUCGAGAGGAACACUCGUGGCGAAGGCGAGCUACUGGACAACAUCUGACGCUGAGGCUCGAAGGCCGGGGGAGCAAA